rnacentral:rRNA from 1 species
UAGGGAAUCUUCGGCAAUGGGGGCAACCCUGACCGAGCAACGCCGCGUGAGUGAAGAAGGUUUUCGGAUCGUAAAGCUCUGUUGUAAGUCAAGAACGGGUGUGAGAGUGGAAAGUUCACACUGUGACGGUAGCUUACCAGAAAGGGACGGCUAACUACGUGCCAGCAGCCGCGGUAAUACGUAGGUCCCGAGCGUUGUCCGGAUUUAUUGGGCGUAAAGCGAGCGCAGGCGGUUUGAUAAGUCUGAAGUUAAAGGCUGUGGCUCAACCAUAGUUCGCUUUGGAAACCUGUCAAACUUGAGUGCAGAAGGGGAGAGUGGAAUUCCAUGUGUAGCGGUGAAAUGCGUAGAUAUAUGGAGGAACACCGGUGGCGAAAAGCGGCUCUCUGGUCUGUAACUGACGCUGAGGCUCGAAAGCGUGGGGAGCGAACAGGAUUAGAUACCCUGGUAGUCCACGCCGUAAACGAUGAGUGCUAGGUGUUGGAUCCUUUCCGGGAUUCAGUGCCGCAGCUAACGCAUUAAGCACUCCGCCUGGGGAGUACGACCGCAAGGUUGAAACUCUAAAGUGAAUU